AUUAUUUAAAUUGUAUUAAUUAGGUAUCUACUUGAAUACUUAAUAUUAUAAAUACCAGUUUUCAAAUCAAAAAGUUUAUAUAGAUUAAAGCUUGGCUCUGACUUCAAGCAUGAUAAAGAACUAAAAAAUACACAUGGUUUUUAUAGAAGGAGGCGAGGUGAAAAAAAAACAUAUAAAUAAUAAAAAUUGAUAACUGUUUCUUCUUUAAGGUAUUAUAGAAUUAGAUAAUAUUUUGAAAUGUCCCGCUAACACCAGUGCUGAAGGUUAAAAAAAAAGUGCAAGCUUGGAUUAAUUUAGUUCACAAAAUCUGGUUAACUUGGUGCCAGCAUCCGCGGUUAAACCAAGAAGAUUAAGUCAUGCAUUUUUGGUAAAAAGACAGUUAAGCAGCACAAAAAGUUUGUUUAAUCAUUAUUGAGAAGUAAAAUUCGCAAAUAAUCUAGAGAUUUGAUCAAAACUAAAAAGCUGAAGCUGUGACAUCCUUAAGGGAAACUGGGAUUAGAUACCCCAUUAUUCUUGGAUAUAAAAAAUAUGGAUUUACCAGAGUACUAUGGAUCGAUGACAUUUAAAACUCAAAGAGCUUGGCGGUGUUUUAGACUCUUUAGCGGGAACCUGUCUCAUAAUCGACAAUCCACGCAAGACCUGACCUUUAUUUGCUUUCAGUUUGUAUACCGUCGUCGUCAGGUAACUUUUUAGAAAAAAGAAGUUAGCAAUUGAGCUUUUAAUAAGCUCUUACGUCAGAUCAAGGUGCAGCCAACAUAAAGGGGAGGAUGGGUUACAAUUAUAAGAAUCAUAACUACGGAAUGGCUGUUUUGAAUAGCAGCCAUGAAGGAGGACUUAAAAGUAAAAUAAAAUAUAUAAAUGUAUUGAAUUCAGCUCUGAAACGUGCACACAUCGCCCGUCGCUCUCGUUGAAAAACGAGAUAAGUCGUAACAUAGCAGGGGUAAUGGAAAUUGCCCCUAAAUU
rnacentral:rRNA from 1 species